rnacentral:lncRNA from 1 species
ACCCACCUCUGUUCCCACUGAGCAUGCCUCUUAAUGCCCAGGACUGCGCCAGCCCAGACAAGUCCAAGAGGAGGAUUCCAGGCAGUUAAGAUGGUUUCCGGAGAAGCCUGGAAUUUCCCCCCUCGAGUGUGCAACUGCUCUUCUGGGAACUUGGGUCUCCUCAUCUGAAACACAGGGAAUUAGAGAAGAUGAUUUUGUAACGCUCGAAGGCUCUGUAAUCCCCAAAAACAUGCUCUAAAGGGAUCUCCAGUCCAGCAUAUCAACCCAAACAAAAGACAACGCUGUGGUUACUUGUUCAAAUGCCUCUUUCUUCUUGUAAACAGUGCACUCCCAAUGACAGAGGCCCUCUGCUACUCAUCAUCUAGGUAGCUGACAGGUGGCUGCCUGCGGUACCUGAUGUUUGGACAGACAAACAAAUGACCAGGUGACACCCAAGUGCGAUUCUCUCUGAUCGCCAUCCUGUAGCCUGUCUCCUUAGCUGGGCUCCAAGCUCUUUGGGGAGCGAGGAACAGAUCUGUUCUACAUAGAAUCUCCAAUCAGAGCUGACGGUGGCUCAGGAAGCACCAGGGUGCCCAGGCUAGUUGUUGAAAUAUUGAAGUACUUCUGUGCAGUUGCUGAGCCUGAGAGAGCCUCUCUCCCCUCCCCCGCCACCAAGCCCAACAUCUAUCCGAAGGUUUCCUCUCCACCAUCCAGCCACUGAAGGGUGGUGACUGAUGUAGCAGGGCUGUAGGCCUCUGCUCCAGGACUGUAUAUGCCUGGUGCCAUUCUGAUUGGCCAGCGCCCUUGCCAUACUGUCGUUAAAUGUUGAGUGGUAGACCAGCCCAAUGCAGGUGAUGGGGAGGGAGAGCAGAUGACUGGUAGGUGCCACCUGUCACCUGAGAAUAGAUAUAUGUAGGCCCUGCUUUCCCAAUGGACUGAGAAUGUUCCCAGCAAAGAAGUGGGCAGUGUGUGCUGCCUGACCCCAAGAAGACACAUGCCCAGAUCCCUAGCUGGACAGAACGAGGACCUCCAAGCACACCUGCAGGCAAAGGAAUGGGCUGAGUCUCAGCCCCCCGGACUUACGAGCCAGGCGGCCCCACCUGUCUAAACUUGCGUUUCCUCUUCUGUACACAGGAGACAGUUAAACCUACCUUCCAGUUUGCGUGAGGACUUGUGUCUAACACGGGCUCUGAUCUGUACCCACAGGUAGGGCUUUCCCUCCUGACAAAAUCUUAUUUUGAUAAAUCAGGACUUUAAAAAUGACCAAGUGGUUAAGCAAGUGCAUUCCGUCUGUGCAGAUGCAUCAAGCUGUUCGCUUACCUACACAAUUCUGUAUGUAGAGCAGACGAUGAUCCAAUGCCAAAACAUCAAAUAUAUAUUCUUAGGCAUCAAAAGUAUUAUCAAUAAAAGUUAAGGUGCUAAAAAAGAAUGGCUGAGCAAAAUCUAGAAUUUGAGUCCUAGAGAAAGUUCCUGAGACAGGUCUCUUUCAAUCCUGAGUUUCCUGACAGCAGGGGCUGGGAGCAUAUCAAAACAGUCCUUGCUAGAAUUUUCCUCCUAAAGCUAAGUGUUUAACCGGUGCAUUUUAGCAACAGCAGAGCUGGAAAAAUAUAUCUGGGUAGAAGUAGCAGACAGACAGCGGUCAGCGAGC